GCCAGUAUGGUGGAUAUGACCCUCGGCUUGUAACCGGGGGAUUCGGGUUCAAAUCCCGAGCAAGGCA
rnacentral:tRNA from 1 species